rnacentral:rRNA from 1 species
GUGCCAGCAGCCGCGGUAAUACAUAGGUGGCAAGCGUUGUCCGGAAUUAUUGGGCGUAAAGCGCGCGCAGGCGGAUCAGUCAGUCUGUCUUAAAAGUUCGGGGCUUAACCCCGUGAUGGGAUGGAAACUGCUGAUCUAGAGUAUCGGAGAGGAAAGUGGAAUUCCUAGUGUAGCGGUGAAAUGCGUAGAUAUUAGGAAGAACACCAGUGGCGAAGGCGACUUUCUGGACGAAAACUGACGCUGAGGCGCGAAAGCCAGGGGAGCGAACGGGAUUAGAUACCCCGGUAGUCCUGGCCGUAAACGAUGGGUACUAGGUGUAGGAGGUAUCGCCCCUUCUGUGCCGGAGUUGACGCAAUAAGUACCCCGUCCUGGG